CAGGUUGGGUUCUCAGAAGUCAUUGCUCUUGGGGUGUCUCCAUCAUGGCCUGGAGUCUGGUCUUCCUCAUGCUCCUCAGUCAAGGCACAGGUGA
rnacentral:pre_miRNA from 1 species